AGAGUGAACGCUGGCGGUAGGCCUAACACAUGCAAGUCGAACGGCAGCACAGUAGGAGCUUGCUCUUACGGGUGGCGAGUGGCGGACGGGUGAGGAAUACAUCGGAAUCUACCUUUUGGUGGGGGAUAACGUAGGGAAACUUACGCUAAUACCGCAUACGCCCUUCGGGGGAAAGCCGGGGACCAGCAAUGGCCUGGUGCUGAUAGAUGAGCCGAUGUCGGAUUAGCUAGUUGGUGAGGUAAUGGCUCACCAAGGCGACGAUCCGUAGCUGGUCUGAGAGGAUGAUCAGCCACACUGGAACUGAGACACAGUCCAGACUCCUACGGGAGCAGCAGUGGGAAUGUUGGACAA
rnacentral:rRNA from 1 species